GUGUGCUGGGCUGUGUCAGGUCAUGCUGUGUGUUGGGCUGUGUCAGGUUAUGCUGUGUCAGGUCAUGCUGUGUCAGGUCAUGCUGUGUGUUGGGCUGUGUCAGGUCAUGCUGUGUGUUGGGCUGUGUCAGGUUAUGCUGUGUGUUGGGCUG